CUGGAGAGGGUGUGUGGGGUUAGCUUAGCUAUAAUUAGCUUGAGAGGGUGUGUGUGUGUAUAUAAGGGGUUAGUUAUAAUUAGCUGGAGAGGGUGUGUGUGUAUAUAAGGAGAUAGUUAUGAUUAGCUGGAGAGGGUGUGUGGGUAUAUAAGGGGUUAUUUAUAAUUAGCUGGAGAGGGUGUGUGUGUAUAUAAGGGGUUAGCUUAGCUAUAAUUAGCUUGAGAGGGUGUGUGUGUAUAUAAGGGGUUAGCUUAGCUAUAAUUAGCUGGAGAGGGUGUGUGUGUAUAUAAGGGGUUAGAGAUAGUUAUAAUUAGCUGGAGAGGGUGUGUGUGUAUAUAAGGGGUUAGAGUUAGCUAUAAUUAGCUUGAGAGGGUGUGUGUGUAUAUAAGGGGUUAGAGAUAGUUAUAAUUAGCUGGAGAGGGUGUGUGUGUGUAUAUAAGGGGUUAGCUUAGCUAUAAUUAGCUUGAGAGGGUGUGUGUGUAUAUAAGGGGUUAGAGUUAGUUAUAAUUAGCUUGAGAGGGUGUGUGUGUAUAUAAGGGGUUAGAUUAGCUAUAAUUAGCUUGAGAGGGUGUGUGUGUAUAUAAGGGGUUAGCUUAGCUAUAAUUAGCUUGAGAGGGUGUGUGUGUAUGUAAGGGGUUAGAGAUAGUUAUAAUUAGCUGGAGAGGGUGUGUGUGUAUAUAAGGGGGGUUAGAGUUAGUUAUAAUUAGCUUGAGAGGGUGUGUGUGUAUAUAAGGGGUUAGAGUUAGCUAUAAUUAGCUUGAGAGGGUGUGUGUGUAUAUAAGGGGUUAGAGAUAGUUAUAAUUAGCUGGAGAGGGUGUGUGGGUAUAUAAGGGGUUAGA
ensembl:lncRNA